CCAUAGAACUGCAUUGGAAAACUGUCAAACUAGAAUACUGAAGGGGCAGAUGGAAUUAGUGGUGUAGGGGUAAAAUCCGUAGAUAUCACUAGGAAUACCGAAAGCGAAAGCGAUCUGCUGGGAAGUUAUUGACGCUGAGGCACGAAAGCGUGGGGAGCAAACGGGAUUAGAUACCCCGGUAGUCCACGCCCUAAACGAUGAAUGCUAGUCGUCGGAAAGCUCGUCUUUUCGGUGAUGCAGUUAACACAUUAAGCAUUCCGCCUGGGGAGUACGGUCGCAAGAUUAAAACUCAAAGGAAUAGACGGGGACCCGCACAAGUGGUGGAGCAUGUGGUUUAAUUCGAAGAUACGCGAAGAACCUUACCUAGCCUUGACAUUGAUUGAAUCUUUCAGAGAUGAGAGAGUGCCUUUCGAGGAACAUGAAAACAGGUGCUGCACGGCUGUCGUCAGCUCGUGUCGUGAGAUGUUGGGUUAAGUCCCGCAACGAGCGCAACCCUCGUCGUUAGUUGCUAACAGUUCGGCUGAGCACUCUAGCGAGACUGCCUUCGCAAGGAGGAGGAAGGUGAGGACGACGUCAAGUCAUCAUGGCCCUUAUGGCUAGGGCUACACACGUGCUACAAUGGGGCGUACAGAGAGUUGCGAUACCGCGAGGUGGAGCUAAUCUCAUAAAGCGUCUCUCAGUUCGGAUUGAUCUCUGCAACUCGAGAUCAUGAAGCUGGAAUCACUAGUAAUCGUAGAUCAGCAAUGCUACGGUGAAUACGUUCCCGGGUCUUGUACUCACCGCCCGUCACACCAUGGGAGUUGAUUUCA
rnacentral:rRNA from 1 species